rnacentral:rRNA from 1 species
CCUACGGGAGGCAGCAGUGAGGAAUAUUGGUCAAUGGGCGCGAGCCUGAUCCAGCCAUGCCGCGUGAAGGUCAGUGCCCUAUGGGCGUUAAACUUCUUUUGUGCGGGAGCAAUAAUGGUCACGUGUGGCCAGACGAGAGUACCGUACGAAUAAGGAUCGGCUAACUCCGUGCCAGCAGCCGCGGUAAUACGGGGGAUGCAAGCGUUAUCCGGAUUUAUUGGGUUUAAAGGGUGCGUAGGCUGUGAGGUAAGUCAGCGGUGAAAUGCCCCCGCUCAACGGGGUGAAGUGCCAUUGAUACUGCCUGGCUGGAAUGCGGAUGCCGUGGGAGGAAUGUGUGGUGUAGCGGUGAAAUGCAUAGAUAUCACACAGAACACCGAUUGCGAAGGCAUCUCACGAAUCCGCGAUUGACGCUGAUGCACGAAAGCGUGGGUAUCAAACAGGAUUAGAUACCCGGGUAGUC